rnacentral:rRNA from 1 species
AGAGUUUGAUCCUGGCUCAGGACGAACGCUGGCGGCGUGCCUAAUACAUGCAAGUCGAGCGAGCGGAACCAACAGAUUUACUUCGGUAAUGACGUUGGGAAAGCGAGCGGCGGAUGGGUGAGUAACACGUGGGGAACCUGCCCCUAAGUCUGGGAUACCAUUUGGAAACAGGUGCUAAUACCGGAUAAUAAAGCAGAUCGCAUGAUCAGCUUUUGAAAGGCGGCGCAAGCUGUCGCUAAGGGAUGGCCCCGCGGUGCAUUAGCUAGUUGGUAAGGUAACGGCUUACCAAGGCGACGAUGCAUAGCCGAGUUGAGAGACUGAUCGGCCACAUUGGGACUGAGACACGGCCCAAACUCCUACGGGAGGCAGCAGUAGGGAACUUCCACAAUGGACGCAAGUCUGAUGGAGCAACGCCGCGUGAGUGAAGAAGGUUUUCGGAUCGUAAAGCUCUGUUGUUGGUGAAGAAGGAUAGAGGUAGUAACUGGCCUUUAUUUGACGGUAAUCAACCAGAAAGUCACGGCUAACUACGUGCCAGCAGCCGCGGUAAUACGUAGGUGGCAAGCGUUGUCCGGAUUUAUUGGGCGUAAAGCGAGCGCAGGCGGAAAAAUAAGUCUAAUGUGAAAGCCCUCGGCUUAACCGAGGAACUGCAUCGGAAACUGUUUUUCUUGAGUGCAGAAGAGGAGAGUGGAACUCCAUGUGUAGCGGUGGAAUGCGUAGAUAUAUGGAAGAACACCAGUGGCGAAGGCGGCUCUCUGGUCUGCAACUGACGCUGAGGCUCGAAAGCAUGGGUAGCGAACAGGAAUUAGAUACCCUGGUAGUCCAUGCCGUAAACGAUGAGUGCUAAGUGUUGGGAGGUUUCC